UUGCUCCUUUGGUCAUGUGGAGUCUUUGCCAAACUUUGAAUGUAUUGGCUUAUUUGCUAUUCAUCUGUUGAUAUGGUGGUUUCUGCUGCUGUUUUGACCUGGGGAAUGGAUGCUUACACUGCUUCUAAGAGUCUACUCUCAUCCGGCUACCUCCGCUGCCACCAUCGCUGCAGCGGCCACUGCGCCACCGAAGCAAAUAUCUACUGUUACGGACAUUCUCAUGCAAGUCCACAAGUCGGAAUAGAUAGUUACUCAUGGGAAGAGCUUGCAGUGGGAUGAGAUCGCUGAUCGUAUUGGCACAUGUAUGCAAUAAUGCAAAGCCAACUGUUCAAUGGUUUGUGCCAGUUGACGGGUUUAGGAGAUUUGAGCUUCUAAACUCUCAGCUAUCGUUAUUAUGUAAUCGAAAAAUAUCCGGUUUCUUUUUUAGUUGAAGUUCAAAUAUUCUCUAAAUUCACUAUGUCUAACAUGAGCCCACUGUUUAAUUUAGUAAUCAUUGGCCGUUUGGUCAAGAUUUACACAA